AUUGAACGAGGGAGGAAGGAGGAACACAUGCAAGUCGAGCGGAUGAAGGGAGCUUGCUCCUGGAUUCAGCGGCGGACGGGUGAGUAAUGCCUAGGAAUCUGCCUGGUAGUGGGGGAUAACGUCCGGAAACGGGCGCUAAUACCGCAUACGUCCUGAGGGAGAAAGUGGGGGAUCUUCGGACCUCACGCUAUCAGAUGAGCCUAGGUCGGAUUAGCUAGUUGGUGGGGUAAAGGCCUACCAAGGCGACGAUCCGUAACUGGUCUGAGAGGAUGAUCAGUCACACUGGAACUGAGACACGGUCCAGACUCCUACGGGAGGCAGCAGUGGGGAAUAUUGGACAAUGGGCGAAAGCCUGAUCCAGCCAUGCCGCGUGUGUGAAGAAGGUCUUCGGAUUGUAAAGCACUUUAAGUUGGGAGGAAGGGCAGUAAGUUAAUACCUUGCUGUUUUGACGUUACCAACAGAAUAAGCACCGGCUAACUUCGUG
rnacentral:rRNA from 1 species